AAUGAACGUAGGCGGCAUGGAUUAGGCAUGCAAGUCGCGCGAUAAACGUAGCAAUACGUGGAAAGCGGCGAAAGGGACAGUAAUGUAUGGGUACCUACCUCGGGGUCUGGGAUAGCGGCGGGAAACUGCCGGUAAUACUGGAUAACCUCUCUGGAGCAACGGUGUGAUUCCGCCUGGAGAUGGGCCCAUAUGCUAUUAGCUAGUUGGUGUGGUAACGGCCCAACAAGGCAAAGAUGGCUAGCGGGUGUGAGAGCACGACCCGCGUCACUGGGACUGCGACACUGCCCAGACACCUACGGGUGGCUGCAGUCAAGAAUCGUCGGCAAUGGGCGAAAGCCUGACCGAGCGAUGCCGCGUGCGGGAUGAAGGCCCUCGGGAUAUAAACCGCUGUCGAGGGGGACGAAAUCUUGGUGGAUUCUCCCAUCAAGUUGACCGAUCCCUGGAGGAAGGGUGGGCUAAGUUCGUGCCAGCCGCCGCGGUAA
rnacentral:rRNA from 1 species